UUUACUCUUCCAACAACUACUGCAUAAAUGGGAAAACGAAACCGAUUUUGUUUUGUUCUCCGCGCUCCCAGCACCAGGUGGAACCACACGCGGCGCUUCCGAUCUCGGAGGAUGUAACAAGACGAGCGGUUGACGGAGCUGCAUUGUGUUGUCAGCCGGCUUUUAUCGUUUUAGGUUGUACAGUUUGUUAGUUUACCGUAAAUAUGUCAUGAUUUAUACUCAAGAGUGGAGCAAGGCCCGAGGGAACAGAGACUGACGCAUCGUGAGCGAAGAACAGACGCGAUGGAUGGUUAGGCUGCUUGACUCUCGGCCGUACGACUCUCGGCAUGUUAGGACUAGCAAAGUUCCGAAUUUGUCGGGGUGUGGUGUACGCUUCUGUGCUCGUCAAGUGCCGUCCUAGCGCGGGGAUGUUUGAACGGAGUGUGUCCCUUCGUCUACAAAACUCUGCACGCUGCGGCAUCGAAGAAGUCAUGUGAACGGGUGCACGUAUGCGCUUGGAUACGGGAUAGCCUGCCCUCAACGGAUGUUCAACAGUGUACGCACGCUGCGCGUACGCGUACGUAUGAGGUAAGCCCGUUGUAAUUCUAUUUGUUCGGUUUGCAUAGCGUAGCUGUUUAGAUGAUGUGUGGUAAGCUGGCGUCGCGAACAGAACUCUUUUUUUCAAAAGGCCAGUAAACAGCGUUAUAGGGCGAAAAUGGCGCGUGAAUAGGAAAAAGGAUCACAUAAUUUCACAUCGAUCUCCAUGGUAGCGUGAUCGAAAUUUUUCGUGUGGCGCGUAUAACCUAUUGCUCAUGCGCGUUAAAAACUUAGAAUAAGAGUGCAUUCAGUUGCGCACAUAAUUUGUAUUGACGCUUGUACUGGCACUAUACGUGCGAUAGUUGCCUCCUUGCUUGCAUGCAUUUUCAUUGUAGUUACAAAAAAAAUUGUUAGCUCUGCUGUGUCUUUCCUUGGUGCAACUGCUUGUGGUGCAACAAGACGUUUUGCUUCUAAUGAUGUCUGAGCAGUCCAAGCGUUCGUGUCGUGUAGCUAGCUGUAAAUGUAUCAGUUGCAAAAAAAUUGUACAUGCCAGAGAAGCAAAUGCAAUCAACAUAGACUGUAUUUUAUAAAUACUUCAGUUGAACUGCUUAAGCAGAAAGUAGAUAUGCAUGAAAAUCAGAUGAUUGUGCUGAUGCUUAGCAAGAACAAGGUAACAUAACAUUACUGAUUCAAUAUUUUCUUUUACUGAAAGACUAGUUGCUGGUGUCCUGCUGGAGCUGAGAAAUCUGCUGCCUGCCAUGAGGCCAUGUCUCUCAAGUUACCGCAAUAUUAUUGCCUUCAAACCUGUCGAGACAAGGUUUCUUUACAUGGCCAUGGCCCUCAAGGAAGAAACCGAGACUGCAGACUGCCAACGUUCAUUCCUGUUUUUGCAAAGACGGGCCAGCAGUAACCAGCUGGGUUUUACAAAGUGAACUCAUCACAGCUUGAGCCACUCCAUGCCACAAGCAGUUGCUCGUCGAGCCACCGUGCAAAGGUUCCUUGGGGCUCAAGUCCAACUCAGCGCCACCACCUCUCUUCUGCAGUUUUUCUACCUACUUAGCUAACCAGCAGCAAGUUUAUCCUUGCAAGGCAUGUGGGAACAGCUUUCACCAGGAAACAGUGCAAGACGAGUGCUCGAAGAAAAUAAAAUUGCUUCUGUGAUCUAAAGUACUUGACGAAUAAAAUUUUGCACUUAUUUGUAUAUAUGUUGUGCAAUUCAUUCAUAUCACAAAAGGCAAAGUGUUUGAUCUUUUGAGCUAUUUCAAUGUGUUGGCUAGACAGUUUUCUCCAUAGCGACCUGCUGCUUCUGCGAUGAGCUGUAUUCAUGACAUUUGCAUUAAAGGAUGUACUAUCGGGGACAAAAGUGCCCAGGACGUGCGAGUGUCGACCAAAUUGCAUCUCUGCACUAUCAGCCACUAUCAUCUGCAUUGCAGACCACUUUCCGAAUGCAAAUGUUAGCAUGGCUGAUCCCAGCAGAAAGUGCACCAAUAAAAUUCGGUCGACAUUCGCACAUUGUGGGCACUUCUGUCCCCGAUAGUACAUUCUCUAAACAAUCAAUAUGCUCUGUAAAACG